rnacentral:lncRNA from 1 species
AGUUAAUUUGCUAAUUCACUUUGUUAUAAGAGUACUACUAUAAAAAGAAAGAAAAAAAAGUAAAGGUAAGAAUAUAACAUAUUUAACUAGGGAUAAUUUGAAUUAUUUUUUGAAACAAAGGGACUAAAUAAAUAUUUAAUCAAAAUAAAGGCACUAAACCAACGUUUACUCAUGGUUAAACAUGCAUAUCAUAUGUAUAUACGGUCAUUAUCCUACAACUACCCUUAUUUCAGGAAAAUAUCAAACAAAUCAAUUUAAACGAGAGAACUACCAACGACCCCUCAAUGUUACAUGAAAAUAUGUUUUUUUUAACAACAUGGAAAUAUACUUAAAAUAUGUAAUUUCUAUGCUAAUGA